rnacentral:rRNA from 1 species
CCCUUAGAUGUCCUGGGCCGCACGCGUGCUACACUGACGCCUACAGCGAGUACUUCCCAGCCCCGAGAGGUGGCUGGUAAUCAGCAAUAGGCGUCGUGAUGGGGAUAGAUCUUUGGAAUUAUGGAUCUUGAACGAGGAAUGCCUAGUAAGCGCAGGUCAUUAGCCUGCGUUGAUUAAGUCCCUGCCCUUUGUACACACCGCCCGUCGCUACUACCGAUUGAAUGAUUUAGUGAGGACUUCGGACUGGGACCGAUGCGGCUUUCGGGCUGCGUCGGUAUUCUGGAAAGAUGUCCAAACUGUAUCAUUUAGAGGAAGUAAAAGUCGUAACA